rnacentral:tRNA from 1 species
GGAAUUGUGCCUGAAUUAUUAAGGACCACUUUGAUAGAGUGACCAAUGAGGGUUCAAAUCCCUCCAACUCCU